rnacentral:lncRNA from 1 species
CCUCCCGCCUUUUUCCCCAGAAAAAAAAACAAGUAAGGGCCCCCCUGCUCUGCUCUUAUCUAAACAACCAGGACCUUCUUGGUUUUUUUCCACUCUGUAACAAAAGCUGGCCAACACAUAAUAUAAACCAUUUUAAUAUGUGUUUUUAAAGUAAUAACAAUGUAAAAUAAUAAAAAGAUAACCAAAAACAACCCUCAUGGCCUGUAAGUUGUGCAAAAAGCUUUAAAAGCCAGGGUUCAGUUACAACCCAUGCCAACUGUGACUUUUUAAAAAAGGGUUAGAGCAUAAUAUGAAAAAAAAAUUAAAACCCACAGUAAAACACAAAACACAGCAACUUUUUUAACAAUGUAAAAUAAGACUUGUAGGGGUUUUUAGUAAUAAGUUUAACAGGGAUUAUUUUUAAAUGAGCAAACUUGUUUUAAAAAGCCAAGGACAUAACAUUAAUUAAAGAAUACAGGUUGCAGCUUUUAAAGACUUCUGGUUACAGAGAUGUUAAUGGGUAUAUUACCAUUUACAGUGUCUUUUUAUUAACUGUUUAAACACAUUCACUAUAGAAAAUAAGAAUUUUUUAACCAUUAAAGUUUAAAGAAGCUAAAGUAUAUAGCCACAUGCCCCCCUCCCCCAACACACACACCUACCCACCUUUUUUCCUAGAAAAAAUUACCUUUACACACCCUGGUUUUUUGAAGAAACUCCUUUUUAAAUAUUAAUUUUUAGGGGGCCCGAAGACCUUUUUUUCCCAACAGGUUUAAACCUAUAACUAGGGACAGAAAACUGGACAAUGCUGUCAAAGAAAUAUUGCUGAUACAAGACUUCUACCGUUAUGGGGAGCAACGACAUGGAUGAGGCCUUUUUUCUUGACCUAUCAGAUUCUGCACUAGAAUGUUUAAAUUUUGGUAAGCUAAUUAAUAUGCUACACAAUUAUGGUUUAUUUUUAAAAGAAAUGGUUUUAAGGAUUUAAUUUUUUAAAUUUAGAACAAGAUGGAAGUCAAAACCAGUGCACUCCAGAUAGUUUUUCCUGAGAUUACAGACGAUGGUAUGAACUGUUUUUUAAAUACGUGUUUGAAAUAACUGUUAUUGGAAAUAGUGUACAUUUUUUUAGGGGUUGUGCAUUAACACAGGUAUUGGGGUUUAUGUUUGUUGUUGUUAGUAAAAAAAAGAGGCUGCCUUUGCCCCAAAGGUUUUACUGUAAAA